rnacentral:rRNA from 1 species
UACGUAGGGGGCUAGCGUUGUCCGGAAUCAUUGGGCGUAAAGAGCGUGUAGGCGGUCCGGUAAGUCCGUUGUGAAAGUCAGGGGCUCAACCCUUGAAUGCCGGCGGAUACUGUCGGGCUAGAGUCCGGAAGAGGCGAGUGGAAUUCCUGGUGUAGCGGUGAAAUGCGCAGAUAUCAGGAGGAACACCAAUGGCGAAGGCAGCUCGCUGGGACGUGACUGACGCUGAGACGCGAAAGCGUGGGGAGCAAACAGG